GACGACGGCGAGCGCCCCUGCCUGCGGGCGACUGCGGGGCGGGCGGGAAGGCUCUGCGGCCGGGGAACGGGAAGCCCCCGCCGCCUGGAGCCCGCCCCGGCCUCGCGGCUAGGCCUCGGCGCGGCCCUGAGCUCGGUUUAUUUUAGGCUGAAGUCGUGUGUACAUUGACCACCUUCAAGACAAAACGAAAGGCCACAGUACCAGCCAUCAGUCCAGCAGACUUUGCCCGUAGCCACAAGGGGUAUCAGGGAGAAAGUAUGGAUGGAUCCUUGCAAAUCCAUCACUGCUGUGAGAAAAAACCAGCUGAAAUCACAGGAGUGGGUCGGUCAA